UACGUAGGUCGCAAGCGUUGUCCGGAUUUACUGGGCGUAAAGAGCGCGCAGGCGGCUGGUCAAGUCCGAUGUGAAAUCUCCCGACUCAACUGGGAAACUGCAUCGGAAACUGAUCGGCUUGAAGAUGGGAGAGGGUAGUGGAAUUCCCGGUGUAGUGGUGAAAUGCGUAGAUAUCGGGAGGAACACCAGUGGCGAAGGCGGCUACCUGGACAAUUGCUGACGCUCAGGCACGAAAGCGUGGGGAGCAAAAGGG
rnacentral:rRNA from 1 species